UACGUAGGGGGCAAGCGUUGUCCGGAUUUAUUGGGCGUAAAGCGCGUGUAGGCGGCCAGGUAGGUCCGUUGUGAAAACUCGAGGCUCAACCUCGAGACGUCGGCGGAAACCAUCUGGCUAGAGUCCGGAAGAGGAGAGUGGAAUUCCUGGUGUAGCGGUGAAAUGCGUAGAUAUCAAGAGGAACACCGGUGGCGGAAGGCGGCAUCCUGGACCGGUAUUGACGCUGAGGCGCGAAAGCUAGGGGGAGCAAACGGG
rnacentral:rRNA from 1 species